rnacentral:rRNA from 1 species
GAGUUUGAUCGUGGCUCAGAUUGAACGCUGGCGGCAUGCCUUACACAUGCAAGUCGAACGGCAGCAUGAUCUAGCUUGCUAGAUUGAUGGCGAGUGGCGAACGGGUGAGUAAUACAUCGGAACGUGCCCUGUAGUGGGGGAUAACUAGUCGAAAGAUUAGCUAAUACCGCAUACGACCUGAGGGUGAAAGUGGGGGACCGCAAGGCCUCAUGCUAUAGGAGCGGCCGAUGUCUGAUUAGCUAGUUGGUGGGGUAAAGGCCCACCAAGGCGACGAUCAGUAGCUGGUCUGAGAGGACGAUCAGCCACACUGGGACUGAGACACGGCCCAGACUCCUACGGGAGGCAGCAGUGGGGAAUUUUGGACAAUGGGCGAAAGCCUGAUCCAGCAAUGCCGCGUGUGUGAAGAAGGCCUCGGUU